CCUUAAACUUUAAUUAUAUUAGAAGUUUUACAUGUGACUGUGGUUAAACUUGAGGGGCAGGAGUUGGAGAGGUCACAUAUAUUUGAGGAUCAACUAGCAUUUACAACUUAAAAUUUGUGUAUGAUUACAAUAGGCUAUGGAUCUUACUCUAUAAAAUAUAUAUAAGAAAACUGACCAAUCACCAAUUGUGAAUGCCUAAUGGUUUGUUGAAGAAGAAGAAAGUAUAACAGGAGAGUGAUAGUCAAGAUUACCAAGGAGGGAUGCCUUACGCUCUUAUGCUCAAUUCAGAUAUUCUUCUAGCUUGAUAUUAAAUAAUAGCAUUAAACACAGAAGUACAAAAGAGAAGGCGAUGGAUCUUACCCUUUCUCUCUGCCAACAAGAUCUAUGGUGCGCCGAGACGAGACAGAAAAAAGGCAAACAACACAAACUUCUUCAACAUAGAAACAUGGAAAACAUCAUGUAUACCAGCUAAUAUAGGUGGAGAAGCAACCCUUAAGCUACUCCACCAACUCUCUUCAGUACCUCAUAUGGACCU
rnacentral:lncRNA from 1 species